AGGUGAAAGAGACAUUAACCCUUAGCUAUCUGUUUAUGACAAGGUGGGUAAAGUAAUGCAACUUUAUAAGAUACCUUUCAAAAAGGUAAAACUUAUUACUGUGAAAGGCGUACAAUACAGAGCUCAUUACAAUAAGGCUUGAGACCAAGCUGAAAUCUUUUACUAUCAUUUGACUUUCAACAGUGAGAGUAAGUGUUGCUGCUUGAACAUUAGCUUUCAUGUAAUUUGAUUCCUUCUCUAGGUUAGAUUUUUGCCUCUGGUACACUUUGAAACUAUUUUCGUCAUUUUUAAAAAUUGUUUUACAUCCUGCCCUAUUUACAGUAAUUCCCUGGACACCUAAAAUAGACGGUUUCCUUGCUUUAUUCCUUGUGCAAGCCCGCUGAGUUGUUCUAGAUUGCUCAUGAGUGUUGUGUUGGUGUAAAGUUUGAAAAAGAAAACAGCCAUGAAAUACUACUUCAAAAACAAAUACAGAAAAUUAUGAUACUUUACAAGUAUAAAGAUACAGAAAAGUCAGAUUUCUGGCAGUGCCUUUGUUAAAAUAUAUGCAUUCAAUGUACUUAAGUCCUACAUAUUUCUUAUCUUGUGUUACUAACAAAAUACCUAUUUAAACUUACUUCAUUUCACAUAAUAUUUUAAAGCAUUUGCCAUCUGUUGAAUUGACAGCCACGAAAAGUGCAUUCCUUUAUCCAUAGAGCAGAGAAAAGUCAUGCAAGUUUCCCUUCUGUACCCAACCAUAGUUAGUAUGUUUGUUUGUUCUAUCCCUGGCUCCUCUUACCUGCCUGCUGGUAAGACUAUGAAUUAAUGCCAAUUUUUGUUGUAAAGGUGAUGGUUUUGAUGAUGUGGACAGCUGAUGAAUUGGAGCCAGGCUGGGGCCACCAAUUCAUUUCACAUAAAUAUUUCUGUAAGCUUAAUGGAAGCCUCCCUAAAUUUGGACAACAGGGCCCAGAUUUUGAGACCUCUUUAUGAAAAAGCAUACGUAUUUGUAUGUUAAUUUGUACAUGCAGUUGCUGUAAUUGCUUAUGCAAGUCAACUGAUAGGCAUUUGUAUAAAGUGAAUAUGUAAUUAUUGCAUGCAAUUAUUGAUUGUGCGCACAAAUUAAGUGCAAAUCCAUGUGCACAACUUUGAAAAUGUUGGCCCAUGAUGUGUGAGCAUUUCAAGAAACUGUUGAUGUAUUAAUAUCAUUGCUCUUUAUGAGGUCCCCUUUGUGAUAUUUAUAAUGGAAAAGAGGUCUAGUCUCUCUAACAGGUCAUACUGAGAGGUGCCUGCAAAUCUCAGCUCAAGUUGCUCUCAAAUACAUUGUUUCCUGUGAUUUCCCUAAGCUUUAAAAUAAUAACUUUAUCAAGCUUUUCAUUAUGAAUGAAUGAAUGUAGCAAAGGCAUAAUUGGCCUCACUUCUGAGAGACUUUUUCCUCCUGUUCUACAGACUGCUAAAAUGAAUGAUUGGGGAUGAGAAUAACUGAGAACAAAAAGCUUGAUGGUUACUCUUAUGCGAGACCACUGUGGCUCAGCUAGUGAGGAUAAUAACAGUCUUCAGUGUUCCUAAUGUGUUCACCAAUCAGGGUCUUUUCAGAACUGUGUCCACAUUGUAUUGACCUAUACUAUAUAGCACAUCUCAGCUAUGAUGGAAAAUCACUCAGUUCUUUUGUCCAUUUAGAAUGAACGCAAACAAAAUGUGUGCUACCUGAACCUAAUAUUUAAGCAUGUGUAGGAAAUGCAGAAACCAGUUCUCAAGGCUGAAACUGAGAUGCCCAAGUACUGUAGAUACAGUAGUUACUCUCCAAAAAAGAAAAAGAUGUUUCUUGAUCAGGAUGGUUCCAUUUUUAUGGUGAAAUACUUCACUCACCAAUACCGAAGAUGGAGUUUAAGGUCCUGGUCCAGCAAAGCAUUUUGAGCAUAUGCCUAAACAGCUUUGAACAUCUGUGCCAUACAGUUGAAAGGCCAGAGUCUGAUACCAUGCCCAUGAGUGACCCCACUGAGUCAAUAAGGCUACUCUGCUAUGCUGCUUAACAUGGAUAAGGAAAUCAAAGUGGCUGUGAAUAAGGACAAGGUGUGACCGGGGCAGACCAACAGAGAGAAGUGAGGAGAACAUAGGAACAGAAAUAAACAAUACAAGUUAGUGGGAUUGCUUGGCAUUAUAAAACAUAUCUUGUUUGUGAUUUUUUUUUGGGUGCUGGGUUUUCAAGGGUGCUGGUCUGCUCCAUCUUUCCUCAGCCUCAAGCACUCUGUCUCAACAUACCACAUACCCAGGUAGCAGUCCCUGGACAAGAAGCAACAGCUAAAGAGGAAGGACCCGGAGGCAGGUCUGGGCCACAUGCCCCUCAGACAACAAAGUGGUUCUGAAGGAGGGAGCCCAAGAGCUGACUGGUUUGGGGGAAGGUGAGGCAUGAGAGAGGGAACAGGCUGAACCGCUCUAUAAUAUUUUUUUAUGGGAUGGGAGUUGGGUUUGAACAUUCCCUGGGUUUUUUGGCUUUUAACAGGCUGGGAUGUUGCCCUCCUCUUCUGAAAAAUUCAGCCUGUAUUUUCUAAAUUUCCUUUGCCGUCCUGGAAAACAACUAGGCUCCCUCCCUCGCAGGCCUGUCCUGCUUUUUGGAAUGCAAAGAGAGAGGUGCAGAAGCAGAGGACCCCAGACAGGAGAGGCUCUGAGAUCUGCUUGAACUAGUUGUGGUGGGAGGGAAGAGGGUUGCCAGCCCCAGCAUUAAUUGUGUAUGGGAGGGCCCACCUUUCCAUCCAGAAAUCCACCUUCUCCUUGUGCCCCGUGAAAGUCCCAGACAAGGAUUCUCUCCUUUCCUCACAUCCCCAGCUCCCUCCAAUGUGUAACAGAUUGCAAAGCUGGUUUAUUUAGAGUAUGAAAGUAUUUUUUAAAUCAGCUUUUAUACUUAAAAACUGUUAUAACAUUUCAGUUCUUCCAUGACCUGCAACAAAACCCAAGUAUUCCACACUGGGAGCAUUGGUCACGCAUUGUGAUGGUUUGUCUCUCACGGUGAUAGGACAAGGUUGAGAGGUAUGGGAUGGCAUUAUUUACAUGCAAGGUUAGAGACAAAAUGUAGGAGCGUGUAGUGGGGACAGGUGGCUGUGGGACAAGUAGGGGAUUGGACAGAUGGAAAAGUGAAGGGUUGUAGUUUGGGACAGCAGGGGUGCUAGAAGGAAAGUGAUUGGUGAUGAAAAGCAGAGAGUGGUGGGGAAAAGGAGUGAGGGAGAGGGAAGGUUAGGCUAUGAAAAAAGCAAAAAUCAGGAAGCAUGGUGAUAUGCAAGCACGAGGCAUAUGAAUGGAAAAUCUUGUUAGCAUUUUUUGCACUGAAUGGUUCUAAUGCUGCUAAGUUUGAUGAAUCUAGCACUUUUCCUGUGUAUUUUCACAAAUGAGUCAUCAGAAUUUUUUAAAGAAAAAUUAAACUACCAGAGAUGCUAAAAUCACACUUAUUUCCCUAUUGAUCUCUGCAUUAAAGGUAACAUGUUUCCAAGAA